GCCCAGGUGGCGGAAUGGUAGACGCUGAGGACUUAAAAUCCUUUGUCUGAAAAGACGUGCGGGUUCGAGUCCCGCCCUGGGCACCA
rnacentral:tRNA from 1 species